rnacentral:rRNA from 1 species
ACCGGCGCACGGGUGAGUAACACGUAUGCAACCUGUCCGGUACAGGGGGAUAAGCGGCGGAAACGCCGUCUAAUACCGCGUGACAACCCGAGGGGGCAUCCCCUUGGGUUCAAAGGAGAGAUCCGGUACCGGCUGGGCAUGCGGCGCAUUAGCUAGUUGGCGGGGCAACGGCCCACCAAGGCGACGAUGCGUAGGGGUUCUGAGAGGAAGGUCCCCCACACUGGAACUGAGACACGGUCCAGACUCCUACGGGAGGCAGCAGUGAGGAAUAUUGGUCAAUGGUCGGGGGACUGAACCAGCCAAGCCGCGUGAGGGAGGAAGGUACAGAGUAUCGUAAACCUCUUUUGUCAGGGAACAAAGACUGGGACGCGUCCCCGGAUGAGUGUACCUGAAGAAAAAGCAUCGGCUAACUCCGUGCCAGCAGCCGCGGUAAUACGGAGGACGCGAGCGUUAUCCGGAUUUAUUGGGUUUAAAGGGUGCGCAGGCGGUCUGUUAAGUCAGCGGUCAAAGCCCGGGGCUCAACCCCGGCCCGCCGUUGAAACUGGCAGUCUCGAGUUGGAGAGAAGUAUGCGGAAUGCGUGGUGUAGCGGUGAAAUGCAUAGAUAUCACGCANAACCCCGAUUGCGAAGGCAGCAUACCGGCGCCCUACUGACGCUGAGGCACGAAAGUGCGGGGAUCAAACAGGAUUAGAUACCCUGGUA